GGGGGGGACAGCGCCCCGCGGGGCUCAGGUGAGGUGGCGCGCGCGGCGCGAAGGUGGGGGAGGGCGGCGGCUCCUCUCGGCGGGGCCGACCGUUACUCCGCUGAGGUAAUUAGCGAGGCCGCCCUAAUUGCAGUCAGCUGAGCCGGGCAUGCCGUGGCGAGCGCUCCGCCGCGCUGCGGCUAACCCUGACCCACGCCUUGCCUCGCUCCGCGGGUACCUCCGUCUCUCCGGUGAAGGGCCCCGGUUGCAGCCCGGCAGCCGGGGGAAUAACGGCCGUAACGGGAGCCGUUAUUCCCCACCGGGAAUGGGAGGGCCGGGCCUCAGGACCCCGCUCUUCACAGAUGAACGGGGAUAGUGCUUCACACGGCGGCUGCUGUGAGGGAGCGGCUGCAGCCUCAGGAUGGGAGGCGCUUUGAAAGGGCCGUGUUCCGUGUGGGGUGACAGAGCUGCCCCUCGGGAGCCAGACAGCGGGAAUCCAGGCGUGACAGCCAGCCCACAGGCCCUCUGGCGUUUCUGUUCACAGAAACAAACCUGAGGCUUCUUCAUCUCCCUUCAAGUGUCAUCAUCCAGCUGCCUCUCGCCCAUGAUCACACCUCACCUUGGGCUGAUGUGUCUUACCCAAAGGCCGUGGCACACGGUGGUUAUGGAGCACUAUGUCACAGACAGCGGUUGGUCCUCCAGGCACAGUCACAAAAACGUCCCUCUCUUGCUCUCUCUAAGGAUGAGGUGAAGGGGGAAGAUGUGUUGUUUCUGGAGCAUCUCCAGCACCUCGGCGCACACAAGCUGCAGAGCAGGCCGCCCAUGCAAUAGCUGUGCCCUGCAGCUGGGAGCCAGCCCGCCUCCAGCAGAGCAGCAGGUGACAGUUGCAGGACACCGAUCUGAUUGAGUGGUUUAGACAGGCUCUGAGAGGGCAGACCAGGACUUGGCCAGCAAAACUCUCUCUCUGCCCCCAGUACAUAGCCUCACGCCUUGACCCUCUCUCAUUUCCCCACCCCAGCUUGCGCUCCACUUUCAUGAGCAAGUUAGAAAUGCCAGAGGGUGGGGACACCUUGUUUGUUCAAGCAGCGAGGGCGGCCUGCCUUCAUGUUACCCAAACCCAAAGCUCUAUUGCCCUGACAAGCAGAGCAUUGAAAGUGAGUGCUCACACCCUGCUAACACCUCCCGAACGCUGCGAGGGAAGGGCCAGCAUCUUGGGAAGAGGAGUCCAGCCUUCAACUCUCUGCAGUCCAGCCUUGGCCAGGAACGUUGGGCAGGCCAGUCCUUCGCUACACAAUCUCAACUUUUUGUUUUGUUUUUACAUCAAGGAGUCCACCAGCACCUGAGAAGUUUGGCAGAGGAUGCCAGGCAGCGCUCACUGCUGCACAGCUCUCAGAGCAGCAUCCAUCCAGCAUGCAGAAGGCCGUUUCCUCACCCAGUAUCCCUGUGUAGUGCACACAAAACCACAUGCUCAUUUUAGGGUCACCAUUUCCAUCUGGAGCCAGACCACUUGAUGGUCCACAUGGUCUACAAGGCUGAAGAGCAGCUAUAAACACAAUAUAAACAAGGGGUUCAGCAAGCACACACCAAGACAGCUACAAGUUCAAGAGCAGCUUUGAAGUCUGAUGAGUUCAUGGCAGCUUCAGGCAUUACAUGAGGCAAAGUGAGGGUAAAGGAGCAGUUAACAGCCAGGGAACAUUUGUAAAAAGAAUUACACCCAAAAGCAAAGGAAAUGGUGAUUAAUCAGACCCAGGGGCCACCAUUACAGCCUCAGACACCUCCUCCUGAGCGGCUAACAGCAAAAGCAGCAGGAAACACUCCACACUCCACUGAAAAUGCAGAACCGGAGGGAGAGGUAAUGCAGAGCCACAGAAGCCGAGAAGGGAUUUCAGACACACUGUUUUGAGCCCAACACCUGGUGCAUGAAACUAACAGAGAGAACAGAGGAAACGCUACGGAGGCUUUAAAAGGAACCUUGGGAGAAAAGUGGAAGCUUCCUUAGAAAUGUCUGAAGCGGUGAACAGAAGAAUAAAGAAUGAGCUCUGGAGGGGGAACAGGUCUGGAAGUUAUUUGGGAGUUAUGGACCUGACUGCUCAGCUGCUUAAAAUAUUUUGCAAGCUCAGGCACCUCAUCACUGCAAGAGCGUACCUGGCCCAGCAGAAAAAGCAGGCAAGUCUUUCCAUUUUGCCAGAGGCGAGGGCAACAACCCAAAGUGGCUGUGGGAGGACAAAACAAGCCCAUCAUUCACAGCAGCUUUCCAGAGGGCUCAACACCCCCAGGGCAGCGAUGACACCCACCUAAGACUUCACCGCUCAGGGAUAACAGACAUUGUACAUGCAUCCUGUUUGCAGGAUGGGGGUAAUGGUGUGCCAGGCUAGUAUCAUGCCUUCUGACAGCCACCUACAGGUUUGAAGUUCACCGCAGGCUGUAUCUGGUACAAUACACCCCCGUUUUCCUUCCAACAGCACAGUGUUGCGUCAAAAGAGCACCCUGGAAAAUGUAUGUACAUUCAGUAAACAACAGCCUGAACUGUGCACAGAAAGCAAUUAAAAACCCUCACAAUAACCUCAAGAUACUCUCAGCCUUACCUUCUUGCAGGAAUUCAGCCUAAGAAUCAUGUUUAAAUAUUUAAGUUGUCAGGAGCAAGGCCUGUUUGCCUGUGCUAAGUGACUUUUAUCCAAAUAAUCUAGCACAAGCAUGAAGUGCCUUGCUUCACUGACCCAACCUUCAUUCUUCAGAGAUAUCAAAAGAAAACCCACACUACUGCACUUGGGACUGUGACAUUUAUUGAAGGCUGGUUAUACAAUCUCAUCCAUCACAUCCUCCUCAUAAUUCAGUUUCCCUAAAUAAAAAGAGCAUUGAUGUAACAGAGAAUUCCGCCCACCUCCGACUGCCUGAGCCACGGAGCACUGACUCUUCCCCUCCUCGUCCCAGGUGCCAUCAGGAAUAGGUCAACUGCCGCUUUUACUGACCUUGGUGAAAGAACCAACGCUGCACAACUGGGCAAGCGGCAGCCAACAGAUCAGUGUGCGGCGGUGGGGGAGAAGCGGAGAUGUCCCAUUUCCAGCAUGUACAUGAGAAGUAUUUCCUGCAGAGGAAGUAUCUUCUCCUCCAUGCCUGAAAUCCACCUACUACACAAAGUGAAUCUCUGCUAUUCUCACCCCCAGCCACAAUCCACUCGAUCUGCGCCUCCAGCUAUCAGUGCUAUGGUUCACACAGGCACAGCAGAGCCACUGUCCUGACAGCUGAGGCGUCCCCUUUCUCUCAGCUGACACCUGAAAAAAAGACUGGCUUGACUGAAGAGCGAGCCCUGCGCAUCCCUGUUCCAUAGUCCAGGACCUGCAAGUCUGUAACGACCCUGGCUCAGCCAGCCUAAAGGCACUGAAGCAUCGCUGUGAAACCGGAUUGAUGCAGCACUCUUGUGGUCAGGGAGUCACCUGGGCUACCUGUUCGUCCCAGGAGUGAACAGAUGAAAACGCUGCUCCUGUUGCUCAAACUGCCUGGAAAGGGGCAAUUCUCAAACCUAGCUUAAUGGUCAGUGGAGCCACUGCUCUGACCGGACAUGGGAGGAAUGCAGGUUUGUUGUCAAGAGUGUUCACUUUUAUUUGAUUAAGAAUUCAAAAUGGGUUGAAUUUUAAUUUCCUCUGCUUUUACCAAUGAGGAAAUUGCAAAUAUUCUUUUGGAAAGGGAUGAUCUGGUAGGUAGGGGUGACUAUGGCUGCAAAGCCAGGUUCACUGUGGCAGCUGGAGGAGCACAGACUGUCCAGAGGGCAGAUAAGUGAUGUUGCGGGACCGUGAGAGCUGGUACGCGAUGUCUUCGGCUGCCUCCAGCUUGCGAAGCUCAAUCAAGCCAUCACCUGCAGUGGCCAGCGAGUUGGCAAUCAGCUCGGCUGCUUUCGAGUCUCCCUCAGCAGAGAUGACAGCUGCUUUCUUCUGCUGUUCAGCCUGAAAGCAAACAGAUGAGAAGGGGAAUAACCAACAGAGAAAAUAAGAGCAAAAGAGGAGGAAGAUGCUAUUGUCAUUUAAAAUAUAAAUUCCCACUUCACCACCCUACUGUUCUUUUCCCCAGUAGGAGAGCCAAGGUAGAAGGUGAUUUUAUUUUAAAGCUGCGUUCUGUUAGACUGUUUUUCUGCCUACUGUGGAAAAAAGGUUGAAAAGUCAUCUUCAAAUUGCCUUAUCAGUCUUAACCUCAUGAAACAUUAACCCACCUAAGGGAACUCCUGGUGGAAAACUGUCUGUGAAAGAUUAGAGAACUUCAGUGGAGUUAAAACCAGGUCAGAUAAACCCUUCUGAUCAUCCUGGCUGAUUACAUGCAUCUUGUGGCAUCCACUGGGUUAAUUUUGGGUGUAGCUGCAGGGUCUUGCAAUCUCAGCAGGCAUGCGUUCUCAGCUGGGCUGGGGUACUUUAUCACAAAACUGUUUCUGCAAAUGCAGAAACUGACAUUCUGGGCUGAUCCUAGAUUGCACAGCCUUGCACACAGUCAGUAACACUCCUAGGACACAGGCCACCCACGUCCAUUACAUCAAACACCAUGGAAAGCUCCAACGACCCUCUCAAAAUUCACAAACAGCAGGAUCACCUGGGCUGCAAAUCUCAACCCCAAACCCCACCUCUUACUGACACCGAACACUGUUUCCUCCCUCCUCCUCCAAGCAGGCAUUUCUGUUCAGUGCUCCAAUAAGACUGUGACAUGGUAUUGAAAGGAAAAGACCCAGAAAACCAACCUUAGGCUUUAUCUAUCCAACAGUCACAUGCCAAAGCCGAGAACCAUGUCAGCGUUACGACCCUAAGUAAUUUCAUCAUUCAACCUGCCCAGUCUCCUGGACAGGUGAGUGAGAUGCUCACUGCAAGCUAGAGUGGAAAGAAAUACUGUCAAGCUUUUCCAAGUUUCUCAGAAGGACGAGAUACCUUUUCCACAAUGAAUCUGGCUCUCUCGGCUUCUUGCUGGGCCACUUGCUUCAUUUCGACCGCCUCUGUGAACUCCUUGCCAAAGGUCAGAUGGGUCUGCAGGGCAGAAAUCAAACAAAGUCCACAACACUGACAGUUUACAGCAGCGCUGCUGUGACCCACGCAGCUCCAGCGGGGAGGCAGCCAGCCUCUAUCAGUGAGGCUGGAGCGGAGACAGAAAGCCAGUAUCCCUAAAAGAACAGGACUGGGACAAGCAGGCCUCCCCAUCUGGUUCUGAAGUCUCAACAGAGACGCCACAAGCACAGCUCCAGUCCAGCAGACCAGUAACACCAGUACCUUCAGAGACACACCACGCUUUCCUGCCACCACCGCUUGCUCAAGCGCCCGGCAGAGGUGGCCCACUCACCCAGCACUCCCCUCCCAAGGCAGGGAAGCCGCUGUCUGCCAAGGCAUCCUACACCUUUCACGCUCUGUGUGCACUGGUGAGCUCAGCCCAGGCUGUUUGGACAGCUGCAGGCUCCCAGGAAGGGGCAGGGGCAAGGUGACCUCCCUCCAGCAGCGCGCUUAGUGGAAAGCACCAGAAACAGAGUGUCAAAAAUUCACAUUUUGCAGAAGGAAAGUCACCUUCCUGCAACGACUUUCUGUGUGUUCAAAGCCAAAUGAAAGAGCUUGUUUCCCUUUCCUCUGAGCGGGCUUUUGAGGGAAGUCCCAAGAGAGAGAUGGAGAGGUGCAUAUACAAGCCAGAUUAUGAUUUAAUUUACAAAGCUUGUAGGGAGGUAAAAGGGAAGAGCUCCCUCCUUGAGAAUAACUAAUGCUUCAUAGAAAAAAAAGACGCUACAAAAAGCAUGCAUCUGCAGUACCUCCUGGCACACUCUCCCUGUGUCUCAGGGUGCUUGUGGAACAGCCGCCUUCUCUAAAGCAAUGUGCAGCCUGAUCCAUCACCCGCAGGAGCAUUUGCUCUUCAUUUUAACUACAAAAGCCCAGCAACAGUGAAGUCUGUUGAUACGCUGGCACAGCGGAGCCUCCAAGGGCUUGUCCAAGGUCACUGAAGGCCAGCGACAAAAGCAGAGGUGCUGACUUGAGUGGUAACCACUACGUCUGCAACUGCAGAUGGACAAAGAGUCCACAUGUCCAAACUUCCAGCCCACCCAUCCCUGGCCAUCCACUGAUUCUCUUCUCCACUGCUCUUAUUUGGGCACACUCCAAAGAGAGUAAGUGAAAAAGGGAGAACUCUUACCAAGGACACAUCAUCCAGAAUGAGCCCGAAGGUUGCUGCUCUCUCCGUGAGGUCUUCGCUCACUUGCCUUGAAACCAGCUCUCUCUGAGUGAUCAAUUCUCCAGCAUCAAAGCGAGCCUGAAACGAGGAUGGGAACAGUGAGAGGAACACUCCAAGAAGCGAUAGGUUCUGCAUACCCUGCCCGUCUUUGCACCCAUGAGCCCCAGAGUUGAUCCCAUUCUCCCAAAGCUAACAAACACCGAGCUGCCCAGGCGUCGGAGAGAGCAUCCGACACGAAUCGAGUCAGGCCCGGCAGUCACAAUGACCAGGACACAAACGAUCAGCACAGCUACAAUCCACUUUUCUGGAUGGCCCGUGAGAGCCUGGGGUGCGGAAAGGGAAGCUGUAUCCUGGAGCAUGACAUAUUCCACGCUCCAGCAGGUCCCUCACUGCUAUAAAGAAGAAAGUCAGACGACCGGCAGAGCCCAGCAGAUCUCACGCCGCCCUUACCA